CCAAGUGAGUCGAGAACCAUGAGGUUUCAAGUUCAAAUUCCAGCAGAGGCAAAAAUACUUGGUGAUUUCUUCCCAUGUAUCCAAGUCUUACUAGACAAAGUUAUCAGUACCUGUGCUGGUGGGAGAUAGCAGGGUAUAAAACCUCUAAAAUAGGACUCAUUCGUGAUGUUAGCAUCCUCGGGGACUAUUGCUCUUCAUUUCCAUUCACGAUAUCAAGCUUCAGGUGCUGGUGCUGCUGGUGGUUUUAGGUUCAUACAGUUAAAUAAAAAAUGUCUGCUUAGUUAUAUUUGUUCCAGGAAACAAGUAGUGCUGGUGAGUCUGACUAUGUUUUGGCAUUAGGCUUGCUUCUGUGUUUCUCAAGCUAGGCAGAUGGUGUUGUGCAUUGGUAGCUGGAAAAGUCCAGCAACAUUUGAUUGUAAAUUCCUUUUUCUUCUUGUUUUCGUUGGUUUUAUGUUAGUUUAAGUUUACAUUGUGGAUUAAUUACUGUUUAGGGUGAUAUUGAAUAGACACAAUAAUAGAUGGUGUUUAAGAGAUCAAAGAUCACUUCUCUGAUCUCUCGACUCUUACGUUUGUGCCAAAUGUACUAUAGAUUAUGUGCCAUCUUUUGUGACAUAAAGAAAAAAAAGCAAGAUAAACUGCAAUGAUUAUUUAAAUUGUUGUAGCAGGUUGUUCGUCUUAUAUGCGAUGCAAGUGUUUUACAUCCUAAUAACAAGAGUAUUAAGAAGGAAAUAUAAUUUCGGGGAUGUCUUUCCUUUAUUCUUUUUGA